UACCAGCACCCCGAGUGGUCGGGACGAUUAUUGGGCCUAAAGCAUCCGUAGCCGGUUUUACAAGUCCCCCGUUAAAUCCAGCUGCUUAACAGAUGGGCUGCGGAGGAUACUAUAAGACUAGGAGGCAGGAGAGGCAAGCGGUACUCAGUGGGUAGGGGUAAAAUCCGUUGAUCCAUUGAAGACCACCAGUGGCGAAGGCGGCUUGCCAGAAUGCGCUCGACGGUGAGGGAUGAAAGCUGGGGAGCAACCGG
rnacentral:rRNA from 1 species